CUUACAAAUACAAAUGUAAUAGGUUAAGAUCUGGUGAACUACAAUAAAUACCUUGUAAAGUACACAGUUUUGGGGUUUUUCCCCCUCCCCACUUUAAUUUCCCUCCUACAGUUGUACCUCUGGUUAUGAACUUAAUUCCUUCCGGAGGUCCGUUGUUAACCUGAAACCGUUCUUAAGCUGAGAUACCACUUUAGCUAAUGGGGCCUCCCACUGGCGCCACACCACCGCCACAUGAUUUCUGUUCUCAUCCUGAGGUAAAGUUCUUAACCCGAGGUACUACUUCUGGGUUAGCGGAGUCUAUAACCCGAAGCGUUUGUAACCCGAGGUGUUCGUAACCCGAGGUACCACUGUACACGGAUUCUGUUUCUUUUUUUUCUUUCUGUCUUUUAUUUACGUCUCACAAUGUUUCGUGCACAUAUAAUUAUGUACUUUCUGAACUUUCGAUAAAGAUGUUUAAAAACUAAACAAAAAUAUUUUUAAGACUAAUGCUUCUCAAGUUCUAGUCAUUAUUUUUUUAAAAAAAGAGAUAGCUGCUGAAAUAUGCUAACAAAUGUCACUGCACACCAAAUGUCAUAUGUAAUAAUGUGCUCUUUCUCUCCAAUUGGCGAGAAGCUGACAGUGGCAUCUGGGAGCUGGAUUUCCUAGAAAGUGUCAUAAAGCAUGGUUGCUUCCACACAUCUCCAUGAGGCUGAGGUAUCUUCUUCACAAACUCUGUUGGGAUGAGGCCGAGCCUCCACAAUUGUGUGCAGCACUUCACAGCGGUGGCGGCAAGCCUCGUCAGACCUUGCAGCGGUGGUGGCAAGCUUUGCCAGACCUCGUGGCAGCAGCAGCAAGCCUCACUGGUCCUCGCAGAAGUGGCAGCAGUGGGCUUCGAUGGGCCUCGCAGGGGUGGCAGCGGACCUCGAUGGGCCUUGCAGUGGUGGUGGCAAGCCUUGCAGGGCCUCGUGGCAACAGCAGGCCUUGCCGGACUUCCUCCCAGGGGUGGAAGAAGGGGGUGCGGUAGGGGCAGUCCACCCCAGGUGUCACCACAGAGAGGGGUGACAAAAUGCCGGGAGGCAAUCACCACAGGGCCUGCAGUGCGCCCGAGCCACACAUCUCUCCUGGGAGUGACAUGGUGGCUUGGGCGCCCGCAGGCUCCACGCUGCCCCAAAUGGUCCACCUGCCUCCUCCCUCUCAGCUAUAGGGCGGCUGAGUGGGAGGAGGCAGGCAGACUCCUCGGAGGCCCUAGGGAGCGUCCUGCCCCAGUUCGCCCCACCCUGUGGGCAGCUGGCUCUGCCCCUGGGUGCAGGGCACACGCACCGCCCCUGGCGCCCGAUCGGCUUGCUCCGCCACUGGUUCCUCCCACUACUAGUCUCCUCCCAAUGCACAAUGCGCAUGACGUCUCAUGUGCAUGAUGAGCCCCCUCAUUGUUGGAUGCAAGUUGGCACCUCUGCCUCCACGCUAGUGAUGUCACAACUUUUCAUGAUGAACUGAAAGCUGGAUUUUAAUUUCCUGUAACACUUAAUAUACGAUAUUAUCGGGCCAAACCAACCUUGAUGGUCGAGAUCUUUCUAUAAUGUGUACUCAAGCAUAUGUCUCAGUCAGCGAAGAUCCUCUUCAACUUGAAUUAGAAGCUUCCUCUUCGUGGCUUCAAACUCUAAUUGUUUAAUCUUCACAAUAUAAGGGCUUAUAUAAGGGAUGCGGGUGGCACUGUGGUCUAAACCACUGAGCCUCUUGGGCUUGCCGAGAAGGUCAGCGGUUCGAAUCCCUGUGAUGGGGUGAGCUCCCAUUGCUCUGUCCCAGCUCCUGCCAACCUAGCAUUUCCAUUGACCGAUUGCCUAAAAAAAAAGCUCAGCAACUGAGUAUUAGUUCUAGAAAUAUGGCAACCCAAAGGAAACAGUGUGUGUUAGAACUUGCCACUGGCUGCAGCUGUUCAGAUGGUUCAGAUCCAUUGUCAUAUGUGUAUAGUGGCACAUUUCCUGAACUUUGAUGACCACCUUGUCUAGGUCUUUGCCUACAACUAAUCCAGAAUGUGGCAGCUGGACUGGUGACCAGGAGUGGCCACCAAGACCACAUAACACUGGUCCUGAAAUACCUACAUUGACUCCCAGUACGUUUCCGGGCACAAUUCAAAGUGUUGGUGCUGACCUUUAAAGCCCUAAAUGGCCUCAGCCCAGUAUACUUGAAGGAGCGUCUCCAGCACAACGUUCUGCCCAGACACUGAGAUCCAGCUCCAAGGUCCUUCUGGCGGUUCCCCCCCAUCAGAAGUGAGGUUACAAGGAACCAGGCAGAGGGCCUUCUUGGUAGUGGCACCCGCCUCGUGGAACUCCCUCCCACCAGAUGUCAAGGAAAUAAACAACAUUCUGACUUUUAGAAGUUGAGGGAAGUUUUUAAUGUUUGAUGUUUUAUCAUGUGUCAGAGCUGGCUCCAGGUCCCAGCUCACAGAGGACCAACGCUAGCCGGCAGUAAUGUACAAAAGUCUUUAUUGAAGUACAGUUUCCAUUUUCAAGCCGCAGCGCCCCAGCUCUACGUCUAGGGGUUAGAUCGGCGAAGCUCCAUCUGAGUCUCCGCCCCUGUACACCAGUUUAAGAUUCUAGCCUUACUCCACCUCUUACGUCUCUCCUUUCUCCUCUGGGUCCUGCUACCCCCCGGGGUCCCUUCCUUCCUGGAUUCUUCUGACGCUGACGUUGAGCCCCCUGACUCCUCCCCCUCUUUGCGGCGGGCUUUGGGACCUGGCUCCCUAUCCGGGCUGCCAACUGCGCCGCCCUCCUGUACAUUUGAACUUGGCGCGCGCGCCCAGCCUUCAACCUUCCUCUCGACCGUUUCCUCGCUCCCCGAUGGAGGCGUGGCCAAUCCUGACUCAUGUCCUCCCACUGGCAGUGCGCCGCCUGAUCCCGAUGCCUGGGACCCCUCCCCCCUACUGCACUCUGGUGUGGACGCUGGUCCUGAUUUCCAACUGCUGCUCUCUGAGUCCCCUCUGGCCCCUUCUUCCUGGGGUGU
rnacentral:lncRNA from 1 species